UCAACCCUCGUUCUGUCUUUCAGGGA
rnacentral:piRNA from 1 species